GAUGAAGAACUCAGCGAAAUGCGAUAAGUAAUGUGAAUUGCAGAAUUCAGUGAAUCAUCGAAUCUUUGAACGCACAUUGCGCCCGCCAGUAUUCUGGCGGGCAUGCCUGUUCGAGCGUCAUUACAACCCUCAGGCCCCCGGGCCUGGCGUUGGGGAUCGGCGGAGCCCCCCGUGGGCACACGCCGUCCCCCAAAUACAGUGGCGGUCCCGCCGCAGCUUCCAUCGCGUAGUAGCUAACACCUCGCGACUGGAGAGCGGCGCGGCCACGCCGUAAAACACCCAACUCUUCUGAAGUUGACCUCGAAUCAGGUAGGAAUACCCGCUGAACUUAAGCAUAUCAAUAAGCGGAGGA
rnacentral:misc_RNA from 1 species